CAGCGUCACGGAUCGCAUUAUGUGCUCAUCACUGGCGUCACUGCGCCUCCUGCUGUCUGAAUGACGCGACUGCAGUUCAGGCGCAGUUCCCCUGGAUUCCUGUUUCAGUUCAACGAGUUGGAUAUGAUCACAUCUAGAACCAAUAAACUGAAUGUGAAUCAGUUUAUAGAAAAAAGGCAAGAAAUACUGAUAUUCAAAAGAAAAUGAUUUUCCAGUGUGCAAUGAUGACCUCUGUGGCGCGGGACGCCUCCUUUGUGCAUCGAUGCAUGGCUGUAAUAAAGGCAAAACAAGUCCAUCAGGCUGAACUCCAGCACAGGUGUCAGUGUUUCUCCAGGGCUUGAGUGAGGAGCUGAUUGAGCUGCGAGAUCAUCGGACGAGGGUCUUCGUUCAGGCCAGCGGUGAUCAUGGUGGUGUUGUAAAUCUGGAAGUGUCAAGCAGCACCCAUCUCCAGCACCGGGAUCAUGGCUGGGUGUGUGUCUAGACACGAGGUCACCUACAGAAUCAU